AAAAUUAAAGGUGCAACCUGCCCUAUGGUCUUGUUAAUUUUUUUAAUCGAGAAUAAAACUAAGACUAAAUGGCCGCGGUAACUCUGACCGUGAUAAUGUAGCGAAAUCAAUUGUCGUUUAAUUGACGACCAGUAUGAAUGGUUAAACGAAUUUUCCACUGUCUCCAUAAUAAACUUAAUGAAUUUAAAAUAAUAGUGAAGAUGCUAUUUAAUAAUUGUAAGACGAGAAGACCCUAUAGAGCUUAACUAUAAUCUUUAAUUCUAAAAUAAUCAAUGAUUUAUUAAAUUUAAAGAUUGGUAGUUUGGUUGGGGCGACCAUCUUCUAAAAGCAACGAAGAUAAGCAAUGAUUAUAUAAUAUCAAUAUUUAACUGUAUAAUUUAUAUCUUUAACAGGUAUUAAAAUAGGCUAAUUGACCCGUUUAUUUUUAAUAAGAAAAAUAACGAUUAAUAAAUAAAAGCUACCUUAGGGAUAACAGCGUAAUCUUAUUUAAGAGUUCUUAUCGACAAUAAG
rnacentral:rRNA from 1 species